UUUAGAGAAUUUGGAAAAUAAGGAUAAACACAAUAAUAACUUAAAAAUGGCCUCAAAUAUCACUUGGAGAUACAGUUGUAAGGUUUGAAAUUGAGAAUUACAAGUCCUCUCAUGUUGUUUUUCUUUUACAAGUACGUUUUGGUUACUGAGACCCUCGAAUUCCCAUAUGAAUUGUAGUAGCAGCUAGUCAGUUUUUGCAGAGGAGCCUGCUGGGAUUGUAAUCGAAACCACGUUGUAUGUAUGGAUCGCUCUGGGGAGCACUGCCACUCCAAGAACACUGUCUUCUGAUCCAGGAAUGUGCGUGGUGUGUCUGUCCAGGUGAUACUGCUCUGGUUGCUGCCUGUGCCCUACCCCCAGCCUUGGUUUUGGAGUUGAGUGCCCUCACCUCCAGUGGCAUCCAUCCAGACACCAGCACUGACACUGGCCGUGCUCAGAUCUGCCUCAGCCCUGAAGACACAACUGACAAAUAGA